GCAAGUCGAGCGCCUCCAAGCUAUGGUGAAGGCGCGGCAAACGGCUCAGUAACACGUGGCCAACCUACCCUUGGGACGGAGACAACCCCGGGAAACUGGGGCUAAUCCCCGAUAGGUGAGGAAUCCUGGAAUGGAUCCUCGCCCAAAAGACGUUGAGUCCAUGCUAUUCAGCGCCGCCCAAGGAUGGGGCCGCGACCGAUCAGGUAGUUGGUGAGGCAACGGCUCACCAAGCCUAUAACCGGUACGGGCCGUGAGAGCGGGAGCCCGGAGAUGGGCACUGAGACAAGGGCCCAGGCCCUACGGGGCGCAGCAGUUGCGAAAACUCCGCAAUGCGCGAAAGCGUGACGGGGCUACCCCGAGUGCCGCCCGUUGAGGGCGGCUUUUCCAUGGUGUAAGGAGCCGGGGGAAUAAGGAGAGGGCAAGACUGGUGUCAGCCGCCGCGGUAAUACCAGCUCUCCGAGUGGUAGGGAUGAUUAUUAGGCCUAAAGCGUCCGUAGCCGGCUUAGCAAGUCUCCUGUUAAAUUCAGCGACCUAAUCGUUGAGCCGCGGGAGAUACUACUAGGCUAGGAGGCGGGAGAGGCCGACGGUACUUCCGGGGUAGGGGUGAAAUCCUAUAAUCCCGGGCGGACCACCAGUGGCGAAGGCUGUCGGCUAGAACGCGCUCGACGGUGAGGGACGAAAGCUGGGGGAGCGAACCGGAUUAGAUACCCGGGUAGUCCCAGCCGUAAACGAUGCGGGCUAGGU
rnacentral:rRNA from 1 species